UCCUUCUCUUCCUAUAUAAUCUUUCGAUUUUAAUAAGCCUGGAGAUACUCUCAGUUCCGAUGCCAGCAGCGAUGAUUGCCGAGAAAUUGCUCCGCCGAGAAAUUUGGAGGAUGAUGACGUUGUAGAGGAUAUUUGGACGGCGUAUCGUGGCAGUCGAUUUGCAGUUGAUGAUGACGAUGGGGAGGAGGAGGAGCGGAAGGAGGCGGAUAGCUAAGCGGAUUUUGCGAAGGUUUAUGAUAUAGAUUCCAGGACGAGGAGGAGGAAGAAGAAGAAUUGGAGUUGGAAGAGGAUGAUAUGCUGGGAAAGGCUUUGCAAAGAGCGCCAAAAUAUGGGCGGAGCUCAAAAGAGAGCUGCACGGAUCUGCAGUCGCCUCGUGCGAGCGGUACGCCGAGGUGCAAGCUUCUUCAGUGAGGAUUCUGACUCAGCAGCCUCUUGCAGCUUUUAUAUCAUUAUGGUGUUAAAGAUGCUAAAGGAAUCCCUUCAAAUAAGCAUGUCAUGCUUUCAGCAUUAAUGUCGGUUGGUACUUAUUGCCCCCCUAGACUCCAAUGUUGUUAAAGCUGCACCAAGCACGAUGCUCAGCCCCGCUAAUAGCAUAAGGUAGGCAACAUCACUUAGGCACGCACCUGAUUGCCUAAUGUGCGAGCCUUGUACCAGUUGCAAUGCUACCAAAUGCACACCUCAAUUAUAUUCCGGUCCUCCUUAAUUUUACCCAAUCUUGUAUGCUCUUACCCCCUCCAAGUCAAACUCUAAACAAGAGAACACAAAAGAAAUGAGGUUUUUCUUCCUCCCUCUCACUGUCAGCUGUGCAAAUGAAAAAGAAAAAAAAAAGAUGAUUUAGAAUAGAAGAUCGAUUGUUGCUGCCGGCUGGUGAGUUUCAAAAUCUAACAGUGUAUCAUUUACAGUGGCGCAAGGCGCUAGGUGCAGGCUCGAUGGCAAGAAAGGCGCACCAACUCCCUUAGGCGCACCAAGGCGCGAGGCACACUGAGGUGCACUCCAAGGAGUUAAGGCGCAGUAUAAAAAUUGGCUAGGGUUUUAAAAUUGCUCCAGCAGCCAACAAAAAGAUAAAAAAGAAGAAAAGAAGAAGAAGAAGAAGAAAAAACAUAGUUAUUAAAGGCUCAAGACGCACCAAGGCGCAAAAGUGUCUUAGGGCCCAGGCGCAAGGCACAGGUGCGCACUCAAGCAAGACAAGGAGCAAAAAUAAAAAAGAGAAGAAAAUUAAUAAUUUACCAAGUAGUAAUAAGCCAACAAUAACAUAUAUAUCAAUUUAUAAUACCAUAAUCUAAUUAUAAUAAUAGAAAUUAAUAAUUUAUGAUAACAUAAACUUUUGCUAUAUUUCUAAUAAUUUAUACUAAGACCUAAUAGCAAUUAGCAAUAAGAAAAUAAAGUAAUAAAUCAUUUUUAAUUCAAUAAUAAAACUAAAAGCUAAUAAGAGUAAUAGGCAUAAUAGCAUCUCCAAGUCUCAACAUAUAUUCACAUAUUCAUAAUAAAUAAAAUGCCAAAAUCAUAAAUUUAGAUUUUUUUAAAAAAAGCAGAGGUUAAGGAGAGAGCAUAGCAAAGAAAGGGAGAAAAAAUGAUAGCUGCUGGCCUUGGAUAAAACACAGCUAGAGAGAGAGAGAGAGAGGGAGGGGGCGCAUAAGAGAGCAUGACAGCUCAAAAAAAAAAAGAAACUGCAGCGCUAUGGACGAAAUAGAGAAAGAGAAUGGAGGAGAGAGAGUGAAGAAGAAAAAGAAAGAAGAAGAACGGAACAAAUAAAACAUACUAGGUUUGAUCUCUCCUUUCCCUUCUCUUCUUCUUCUUCUUUUUUAUCUUUUCGUUGGCUACUGGAGAUCUCUUCUUCUUCUUCUUUUUCAUCUUUUUAUUGGCUGCUGGAGCAAUUUUAAAAUCCUAGCCAAUUUUUAUACUGCAUCUUAACUCCUUGGGGCACUUAUCGGGUGCACCUUGCGCCUUGGUGCGCCUUUCCUGCCGUUGGGAGCUUUUGAUAACAUUGAGAAGAAGAGAUCUGCAGCAGCCAACAAAAAAAUAAAGAACAAAAAGAAGAAGAAGAAAAAGAAGAGAAGAGAAAUGAGAGAUCAAAACUGGGUACUCUGGGGACCAAUCGCUCUGCCGGACGAUGUGCCACGAAGAAGCAUUGUGAAGCCCUUAUGCCUCUCGCAACACAUGAGAUGCAAGACCCUGUAAUAUAAAGGAAAUAAGAUGUGCCUUUGCCAUCAGCAGUUGCUUUUAGUAGGAAUGGUAGCACAUGAUUCUAAGAGCUUCCAGGUUAAAUGUGCUUGGGUUGGAUACCAUCAGCAAUUGUUUUUAGCAGAAAUAGUGACACAUGAUCUCAAGAGCUUUCCGGUUAAAUGUGUUCUGGUUGGAGCAGCAUAAGCUGCCAGGUGACGGAGAGACGAACUAUAUUGAUGCUUUCAACAAUGACACUUAUAUAUUUGCAUGCUAGCUGUCCACUAGAGCUGGAGGGCAGGGUUUGAACUUGACUGGAGCUGAUACUUUUGUUAUCCAUGAUAUGGAUUUCAACCCACAAAUUGAUUGACGGGCAGAAGAUCAAUGUCAUUGCAUUGGCCAAACAAAGCCUGUCACCAUAUACAGGUGCGUCAUCACUCGUCCUGUAUGUGGAAAAAGAGCACGAGAAAAUGAAGAUAAAGGGUACAGUUGAUGAGAAUGUCUAUGUGAUUUGCAAAGCAAAAGCUUAUUUUGGAUGCUGCUUUUAGUCUGGGUGGAGGCGAAUAAUGAGGGUAACGCAUCGGAGAAGAUAACGAGACAGAUACUAUUAUCACUUUUGAUGGGCUAAGAACGUCAACUGCAUCUGAUAGAAACUCAUCAGACAUCUUUUUCCUUUUCAUUUUGUCCUUCCCUUUAUUUGUGUAAUAUCCAUUUUUGUAUUAGUUAGGUCAUAGGUGUGGUAUAGGGGAAGAAAGGGACAGAGGGGAAGGGGGGAAAGAAAGAAAGAAAUGAGAAGGGAAGAUAGAAAAUCAUUUAGGACUGAUAGUGCUUUACCACAAGUGUGUAAUGGCCCUUAAAUUCAUACUGUGGUGAAGGUUAAAUGUCAAUAUGACUUGUUUCAAUCAAAGAUAAGUUUGUAAAGGUAUUAGGAUGACAUUCUUGGGGCCAUGGGACCAAGCUGCCUCAUCCGACACUAUUUGAGCACUUCAUAAUUGUAUCCGUGCUGAAAUUUGCCAGGCAUCGAAGUGCUUCCUCUUCACUCUGUUCAGAAACAAGCUGAAUUUUAGAAGCACAAAUUUUGCUUAUUAGAGAUGAAAUGAGAAGAAAGUUAAAUUAAGUGUGUACAAUCUCAGGAAGGCACAGAGAAAAAGCUAAUUAGUUGGUAAGCGAAGAUAAGGAAUCUCUUCAAACGUUAUACUCGUGAAAUCCUUCCCUUUUAUCUUCCUGUAGGGUGGUAAAACUACGAAGCUUACCUCACUUUGUUACUAUUCCUUUGCUUGUAAUAAAAUUAAACUCCUCCUUUCUUUUU